AGGAGUGAUGCCUGCCCAGUGACACUGUUUAMCGGCCGCGGUAUCCUGACCGUGCGAAGGUAGCGUAAUCACUCGUCUUUUAAAUAAAGACUAGAAUGAAUGGCUAAACGAGGCUCUAUCUGUCUCUUACAAAUAAUCAGUGAAAUUGAUCUCYUCGUGCAAAAGCGAGAAUMACACCACAAGACGAGAAGACCCUGUGGAACUUUAAGUGUAAGUCAUAAUYACUAACUAACUACUCAACAGAAUAACACUACUUACAACCUAUCUGACCAAAAACUUUCGGUUGGGGCGACCUCGGAGRACAAUAAAACCUCCGAAAAAAUCACUACUAAGAUAACACAAACCUAAGUGCCUACGGCAAAWCGAUCCAUAUACAUGAUCAACGAACCAAGCUACCCCAGGGAUAACAGCGCAAUCCCCUCUUAGAGUCCAUAUCAAUGACGGGGGUUUACGACCUCGAUGUUGGAUCAGGACAUCCUAAUGGUGCAWCCGCUAAUAAGGGUUC
rnacentral:rRNA from 1 species